AUAAGGAGGGGCUGGUUUUUUGGGGAAAGGGACACGAAAAAGGCACCUAAAAAAAGAAGAAAAAGGAAACAAAAAUGAAAGAUACGAAAACAACAAAAAGAAAGAGAGCUUGAAAUCUCACAAUCACUCAUCUUACUCAUAUUCCUUUUUGAACAUAAACAAUGGCUAUAUUCUAUCCAAAUUCAGCUGGGUUGAAAUUAAUCUAUCAAAGCAACGUAAUGGAGAUCGAUUUCGUUGGUUGAGUUGAUGUCGAGUGAUUGAGGCUGAGAUAUAGUCCGUAGUAACCUGUGCUUUGUUCGAAUUCGAGGUGCAUUCACAUUCAAGGCAAAAUUAUAUAAUACAAAGGUACAUAUAAGUCUAGUGGUUUUCUAGGCGCAGAGGCGCAACUAUUGCGGGGACUUACGGUGAGCUGCAUUCCAUGUUACGAAUCCGCAGCAUACAGAGUCUCCAUCAAAAUUAUUUACAUUCCCCUGUCUAAUCUAUAUUCCAUACAUAUGCUGUCUUUUAUCAUAUUUCCUAGUUGAUACUCAUGCACUUGUGACACCGGGUUUUGGGUGUUCUUACAGGUUAUUCACUAUUGUGGUUAGUGCAGAUAUUUUCAUUUACUGUGUAAAUUCUAUUUUUAUACUGUCUAAUUAAGGAAAAACUUUGAUUUCAAAUUUC